UACGGAAGGGGCGAGCGUUGUUCGGAAUCAUUGGGCGUAAAGGGCGCGUAGGUGGUUCUGUAUGUCUACCGUGAAAGCGUACGGCUCAACCGUAUUUUGUCGGUAGAAACUGCAGAACUUGAGGCUGGGAGGGGCUGGUGGAAUUCCCUGUGUAGCGGUGAAAUGCGUAGAGAUGGGGGAGAACACUCGUGGCGAAGGCGGCCAGCUAGACCAGUUCUGACACUGAGGCGCGACAGCGUGGGGAGCAAACAGG
rnacentral:rRNA from 1 species